UACGGAGGGUGCAAGCAUUAAUCGGAUUUAUUGGGCAUAAAGGGCGCGUAGGUGGGAAUAUAAGUCAGACGUGAAAUGCCAGAGCUUACCUUUGGCACUGCGUUUGAAACUGUUUUUCUAGAGGAUUGACGGAGAAAGCGGAAUUCUAUGUGUAGCGGUGAAAUGCGUAGAUAUAUGGAAGAACACCUGUGGCGAAGGCGGCUUUCUAGUUUAUUCCUGACGCUAAUGCGCGAAAGCAAGGGGAG
rnacentral:rRNA from 1 species